GGUUGGAACUAGGUGAUUCUUUAAAGUUCCUUCCAAACCAAACCAUUCUAUGGUUCUAUGAUACUAUUGCAAGAGCAUAAUGAAUGCAGAUCACCUCUCUGUCUGGCUUCUGGUCCUGGAGGGAGCUGUUUUAUUUACAGGACACUCUUUCUGCUGCACAUUGAAGACCACCAGAGGAAGGAGGCCUGAGAAAGGACAGGCUUUUUCAGCCCCAGCCUUAUUGAAGAGCUAAGAAUUGCUCAAUUGCAAUUUUAAAAUUCCUUAAGGAUGAGAAAGAUGACGAUGAAGAAAAGAUGUUUUCGAAGUCCUGAGAAUUCAGCAAAACAAAGACUUGUACUACAUGCAAAACCAAUAAUAAAGUAUGUUCUG